GAUCCUGGCUCAGGAUGAACGCUAGCUACAGGCUUAACACAUGCAAGUCGAGGGGAAACGACAUCGAAAGCUUGCUUUUGAUGGGCGUCGACCGGCGCACGGGUGAGUAACGCGUAUCCAACCUGCCCAUCACUUGGGAAUAACCUUGCGAAAGUAAGACUAAUGCCCAAUGAUAUCCCACGAAGGCAUCCGAAUGGGAUUAAAGAUUUAUCGGUGAUGGAUGGGGAUGUGU
rnacentral:rRNA from 1 species